UUACUUACCUGGAUGGAGUCAAUGGAUGAUCAAGAAGGUCCAUGGCCUAGGUUGUUGACCUCCAUUGCACUUUGGAGGGGCGCCAACUUAAGGUCUCCCCAAAUGGAGAGCCUACAUCAUAAUUUGUGGUAGUGGGGGCUUGCGUUCGCGCUGCCCCUCU
rfam:Lupinus angustifolius cultivar Tanjil chromosome LG16, whole genome shotgun sequence.